rnacentral:rRNA from 1 species
GAUGAACGCUAGCGGCAGGCUUAAUACAUGCAAGUUGAGGGGCAGCAUGAUAUACGCGAGUAUAUUGAUGGCGACCGGCGGACGGGUGAGUAAUAGGUAGGAGACCUACCUCAUACAGGGGGAUAGCAUAGAGAAAUCUGUGGUAAUACCCCAUGAGGUUAUAUGAAUAGAGGCAUAUAAUCAAAGCAUAAGCGAUUAUGCGGUAUGAGAGGGGCCUACUGACCAUUAGCUAGUUGGUGGGGUAAGGGCUCACCAAGGCGAAGAUGGUUAGGGGUUUUGAGAGAGAGACCCCCCACAUUGGAACUGAGAGACGGUCCAGACUCCUACGGGAGGCAGCAGUAGGGAAUAUUGGGCAAUGGGCGAAAGCCUGACCCAGCCAUGCCGCGUGAAGGAAGACGGCCUUAUGGGUUGUAAACUUCUUUACUACGCGAAUAGAGGUUAGUACGAGAUACUAAUAGGAAGGUAGUGUAGUAAAAAGCACCGGCUAACUCCGUGCCAG